rnacentral:rRNA from 1 species
AUUAGAUAAAAAACCAACGCCCUUCGGGGCUCCUUGGUGAAUCAUAAUAACUUAACGAAUCGCAUGGCCUUGCGCCGGCGAUGGUUCAUUCAAAUUUCUGCCCUAUCAACUUUCGAUGGUAGGAUAGUGGCCUACCAUGGUGGCAACGGGUGACGGGGAAUUAGGGUUCGAUUCCGGAGAGGGAGCCUGAGAAACGGCUACCACAUCCAAGGAAGGCAGCAGGCGCGCAAAUUACCCAAUCCCGAUACGGGGAGGUAGUGACAAUAAAUACUGAUACGGGGCUCUUUUGGGUCUCGUAAUUGGAAUGAGAACAAUUUAAAUCCCUUAACGAGGAACAAUUGGAGGGCAAGUCUGGUGCCAGCAGCCGCGGAAUUCCAGCUCCAAUAGCGUAUAUUAAAGUUGUUGCAGUUAAAAAGCUCGUAGUUGAACCUUGGGUCUGGCUGGCCGGUCCGCCUCACCGCGAGUACUGGUCCGGCUGGACCUUUCCUUCUGGGGAACCCCAUGGCCUUCACUGGC